CGAGUUUGUUGUGGCAGGGUUGGGGUUUCUAUGCGGCAUGUGCCUUGAUUUUAAAAAUGUAAUGCCCUUCGAAACCUCAAAAAUGUCCAACACUUGUC
rnacentral:pre_miRNA from 1 species